rnacentral:tRNA from 1 species
AAUAAAGUGCCUGAAAAAAGGAUUAUUCUGAUAGGAUAAAUAAUGUAAUUAAUAUUACCUUUAUUA